GGGUUGUGAGGUUAAGCGACUAAGCGUACACGGUGGAUGCCCUGGCAGUCAGAGGCGAUGAAGGACGUGCUAAUCUGCGAUAAGCGUCGGUAAGGUGAUAUGAACCGUUAUAACCGGCGAUUUCCGAAUGGGGAAACCCAGUGUGUUUCGACACACUAUCAUUAACUGAAUCCAUAGGUUAAUGAGGCGAACCGGGGGAACUGAAACAUCUAAGUACCCCGAGGAAAAGAAAUCAACCGAGAUUCCCCCAGUAGCGGCGAGCGAACGGGGAGCAGCCCAGAGCCUGAAUCAGUGUGUGUGUUAGUGGAAGCGUCUGGAAAGGCGCGCGAUACAGGGUGACAGCCCCGUACACAAAAAUGCACAUGCUGUGAGCUCGAUGAGUAGGGCGGGACACGUGGUAUCCUGUCUGAAUAUGGGGGGACCAUCCUCCAAGGCUAAAUACUCCUGACUGACCGAUAGUGAACCAGUACCGUGAGGGAAAGGCGAAAAGAACCCCGGCGAGGGGAGUGAAAAAGAACCUGAAACCGUGUACGUACAAGCAGUGGGAGCACGCUUAGGCGUGUGACUGCGUACCUUUUGUAUAAUGGGUCAGCGACUUAUAUUCUGUAGCAAGGUUAACCGAAUAGGGGAGCCGAAGGGAAACCGAGUCUUAACUGGGCGUUAAGUUGCAGGGUAUAGACCCGAAACCCGGUGAUCUAGCCAUGGGCAGGUUGAAGGUUGGGUAACACUAACUGGAGGACCGAACCGACUAAUGUUGAAAAAUUAGCGGAUGACUUGUGGCUGGGGGUGAAAGGCCAAUCAAACCGGGAGAUAGCUGGUUCUCCCCGAAAGCUAUUUAGGUAGCGCCUCGUGAAUCAUCUCCGGGGGUAGAGGCACUGUUUCGGCAAGGGGGUCAUCCCGACUUACCAACCCGAUGCAAACUGCGAAUACCGGAGAAUGUUAUCACGGGAGACACACGGCGGGUGCUAACGUCCGUCGUGAAGAAUGUUAUCACGGGAGACACACGGCGGGUGCUAACGUCCGUCGUGAAGAGGGAAACAACCCAGACCGCCAGCUAAGGUCCCAAAGUCAUGGUUAAGUGGGAAACGAUGUGGGAAGGCCCAGACAGCCAGGAUGUUGGCUUAGAAGCAGCCAUCAUUUAAAGAAAGCGUAAUAGCUCACUGGUCGAGUCGGCCUGCGCGGAAGAUGUAACGGGGCUAAACCAUGCACCGAAGCUGCGGCAGCGACGCUUAUGCGUUGUUGGGUAGGGGAGCGUUCUGUAAGCCUGCGAAGGUGUGCUGUGAGGCAUGCUGGAGGUAUCAGAAGUGCGAAUGCUGACAUAAGUAACGAUAAAGCGGGUGAAAAGCCCGCUCGCCGGAAGACCAAGGGUUCCUGUCCAACGUUAAUCGGGGCAGGGUGAGUCGACCCCUAAGGCGAGGCCGAAAGGCGUAGUCGAUGGGAAACAGGUUAAUAUUCCUGUACUUGGUGUUACUGCGAAGGGGGGACGGAGAAGGCUAUGUUGGCCGGGCGACGGUUGUCCCGGGUUUAAGCGUGUAGGCUGGUUUUCCAGGCAAAUCCGGAAAAUCAAGGCUGAGGCGUGAUGACGAGGCACUACGGUGCUGAAGCAACAAAUGCCCUGCUUCCAGGAAAAGCCUCUAAGCAUCAGGUAACAUCAAAUCGUACCCCAAACCGACACAGGUGGUCAGGUAGAGAAUACCAAGGCGCUUGAGAGAACUCGGGUGAAGGAACUAGGCAAAAUGGUGCCGUAACUUCGGGAGAAGGCACGCUGAUAUGUAGGUGAAGCGACUUGCUCGUGGAGCUGAAAUCAGUCGAAGAUACCAGCUGGCUGCAACUGUUUAUUAAAAACACAGCACUGUGCAAACACGAAAGUGGACGUAUACGGUGUGACGCCUGCCCGGUGCCGGAAGGUUAAUUGAUGGGGUUAGCGCAAGCGAAGCUCUUGAUCGAAGCCCCGGUAAACGGCGGCCGUAACUAUAACGGUCCUAAGGUAGCGAAAUUCCUUGUCGGGUAAGUUCCGACCUGCACGAAUGGCGUAAUGAUGGCCAGGCUGUCUCCACCCGAGACUCAGUGAAAUUGAACUCGCUGUGAAGAUGCAGUGUACCCGCGGCAAGACGGAAAGACCCCGUGAACCUUUACUAUAGCUUGACACUGAACAUUGAGCCUUGAUGUGUAGGAUAGGUGGGAGGCUUUGAAGUGUGGACGCCAGUCUGCAUGGAGCCGACCUUGAAAUACCACCCUUUAAUGUUUGAUGUUCUAACGUUGACCCGUAAUCCGGGUUGCGGACAGUGUCUGGUGGGUAGUUUGACUGGGGCGGUCUCCUCCUAAAGAGUAACGGAGGAGCACGAAGGUUGGCUAAUCCUGGUCGGACAUCAGGAGGUUAGUGCAAUGGCAUAAGCCAGCUUGACUGCGAGCGUGACGGCGCGAGCAGGUGCGAAAGCAGGUCAUAGUGAUCCGGUGGUUCUGAAUGGAAGGGCCAUCGCUCAACGGAUAAAAGGUACUCCGGGGAUAACAGGCUGAUACCGCCCAAGAGUUCAUAUCGACGGCGGUGUUUGGCACCUCGAUGUCGGCUCAUCACAUCCUGGGGCUGAAGUAGGUCCCAAGGGUAUGGCUGUUCGCCAUUUAAAGUGGUACGCGAGCUGGGUUUAGAACGUCGUGAGACAGUUCGGUCCCUAUCUGCCGUGGGCGCUGGAGAACUGAGGGGGGCUGCUCCUAGUACGAGAGGACCGGAGUGGACGCAUCACUGGUGUUCGGGUUGUCAUGCCAAUGGCACUGCCCGGUAGCUAAAUGCGGAAGAGAUAAGUGCUGAAAGCAUCUAAGCACGAAACUUGCCCCGAGAUGAGUUCUCCCUGACUCCUUGAGAGUCCUGAAGGAACGUUGAAGACGACGACGUUGAUAGGCCGGGUGUGUAAGCGCAGCGAUGCGUUGAGCUAACCGGUACUAAUGAACCGUGAGGCUUAACCUUACAACGCCGAAGCUGUU
rnacentral:rRNA from 1 species